UGGGAUAUUGCUACGAGGACUGAACCACUACCGUGGUGAGGUAUUUGCCUACCCAAUGUUUUUGCAGAGGGAAUUGUCGGAGAGGGCAAAUGUCACUUUCUUCUGCAUGGAUGUUGUCUGCAGGUACUGGCCAUACCUAAGCAAAGUGGCUGAAGAAUCAUCAGAUCUUCAGCCGCUGAUGGAAAUGAGGCCAUUUCUUAGUGUAAUGCAUGCCAAAGCUCAUACAGCGAAAUGCGAGGUGAGAUGGGGUGGCAGAAAUCAGGAUGGAGCAGGGAACACUGUCGGAGAGGAAGUUGAACAAGU